rnacentral:rRNA from 1 species
ACUCCUACGGGAGGCAGCAGUGGGGAAUAUUGCACAAUGGGGGAAACCCUGAUGCAGCCAUGCCGCGUGUGUGAAGAAGGCCUUCGGGUUGUAAAGCACUUUCAGUAGGGAGGAAGGUAGUGUAGUUAACACCUGCACUAUUUGACGUUACCUACAGAAGAAGCACCGGCUAACUCCGUGCCAGCAGCCGCGGUAAUACGGAGGGUGCGAGCGUUAAUCGGAAUUACUGGGCGUAAAGCGCAUGCAGGCGGCCUGUUAAGUCAGAUGUGAAAGCCCGGGGCUUAACCUCGGAAUUGCAUUUGAAACUGGCAGGCUAGAGUCUUGUAGAGGGGGUUAGAAUUUCAGGUGUAGCGGUGAAAUGCGUAGAGAUCUGAAGGAAUACCAGUGGCGAAGGCGGCCCCUGGACAAAGACUGACGCUCAGAUGCGAAAGCGUGGGAGCAAACGAGGAUUAGAUUCCCCUGGUAGCACAGA